rnacentral:rRNA from 1 species
GCUUAGAGAGGGGUCAAUGUCCUAUCAGCUAGUUGGUAAGGUAAUGGCUUACCAAGGCUAAGACGGGUAGCCGGCCUGAGAGGGUGGUCGGCCACACUGGGACUGAGACACUGCCCAGACUCCUACGGGAGGCUGCAGUCGAGAAUCUUUCGCAAUGCCCGAAAGGGUGACGAAGCGACGCCGCGUGUGGGAAGAAGGCCUUCGGGUUGUAAACCACUGUCGGGAGUUAAGAAAUGUAAGGGUGUUAAUAGCAUCCUUACUUGACUAAGGCUCCGGAGGAAGCCACGGCUAACUCUGUGCCAGCAGCCGCGGUAAUACAGAGGCGGCAAGCGUUGUUCGGAAUUAUUGGGCGUAAAGAGCACGUAGGCGGCUUUGUAAGUCAGUUGUGAAAGCCUUCCGCUUAACGGAAGAACAGCAUCUGAUACUGCAAGGCUAGAGUACGGAAGGG